rnacentral:rRNA from 1 species
GACGAACGCUGGCGGCGUGCUUAACACAUGCAAGUCGAACGGAACGGCCCUGCUUGCAGGGUACUCGAGUGGCGAACGGGUGAGUAACACGUGGGUGAUCUGCCCUGCACCUCGGGAUAAGCCUGGGAAACUGGGUCUAAUACCGGAUAGGAGCCAUUUUUAGUGUGAUGGUUGGAAAGUUUUUUCGGUGUAGGAUGAGCUCGCGGCCUAUCAGCUUGUUGGUGGGGUAAUGGCCUACCAAGGCGGCGACGGGUAGCCGGCCUGAGGGGGUGGACGGCCACAUUGGGACUGAGAUACGGCCCAGACUCCUACGGGAGGCAGCAGUGGGGAAUAUUGCACAAUGGGCGCAAGCCUGAUGCAGCGACGCCGCGUGGGGGAUGACGGCCUUCGGGUUGUAAACUCCUUUCGCUAGGGACGAAGCUUUUUGUGACGGUACCUAGAUAAGAAGCACCGGCUAACUACGUG